rnacentral:rRNA from 1 species
AACGCACCUUGCGCUCCUUGGUAUUCCGAGGAGCAUGCCUGUUUGAGUGUCAUU